CAGAGGCAGCAGAACCUUCCUCCUUAGCAGGAGUUGGGAGCAAAGCCGCUGGAAAUCAGCCCUGCUUGGGUGUCAGCGUCAGGCCGGGCCGGGCCGCACUGGACAGCAGUAGCAUGUGCUGCUCCCUCGGGCCGGAGCGCUGCACAGGGGCCGGUGUCCCCACAGCGGGACCAGGCCCAAGCACCAAAUGCACAUCUCCAGCGGAGCUGUGGCGGUUAGAUGCCCCCGUGGGAGGCAGGUCUUGGAAACGGCCUGAGAACUUGACGUCCCAAGAUAUUAACCAGUCUCCAUUUACAGGCAAACUUACACAUUUUGAAGUUGGCCCAGCAAGAGAAACCACCUCACCUACCUUGUCUCGCUAAUAUCCUGGGGCCAACGUGGCUAGUGGCAGUCAUGGUGCAAACCGACAUUGUGCAAGUUCCCCCAGCGUGUCCGCCGGCAUACCCAGCAACUCAUCACAUCACACCCCCUCUCUCAAGGAGAGGGGCCACAGGCCAGACGGUCCAGCAGGCUCUUGAAAAAGGAACCCAGAAUUCUGUGAGCCGAAUUCAAAUUGAACAAGGCAGUGAAUUAACGCAAAGCAGAAAGAUGUUUAUGAUAUUAAAUCUAGGGCUGGUCAAAAAAAAAAGUAUUUUCUGCACAAAAAU